rnacentral:rRNA from 1 species
GCAUGCAAGUUGAGCGAAGCUUUUCAGUAGUUUACUACAGAAAAUGACUGAGCGGCGCACUGGUGAGUAACGCGUGAGCAAUCUACCUUAGUUACUGGGAUAGCCCGAGGAAACUCGGAUUAAUACCGGAUAAUCUUAUUACAUCACAUGAUAUUUUAAGUAAAGGUCAGCCGAACUAAGAUGAGCUCGCGUUCUAUCAGCUAGUUGGUGGGGUAAAAGCCUACCAAGGCUACGACGGAUAGCUGGUCUGAGAGGACGAUCAGCCACACUGGGACUGAGACACGGCCCAGACUCCUACGGGAGGCUGCAGCAGGGAAUAUUGCGCAAUGAGCGAAAGCUUGACGCAGCGACACCGCGUGUGGGAUGACGGUUCUAGGAUUGUAAACCACUUUCAGGAGGGAAGAAAAUGACGGUACCUCCACAAGAAGCCCCGGCCAACUACGUGCCAGCAGCCGCGGUAAUACGUAGGGGGCGAGCGUUGUCCGGAUUUAUUGGGCGUAAAGAGCUCGUAGGCGGUUCAACAAGUCGGUCGUGAAAGUUUAGGGCUUAACCCUGAAAUGUCGAUCGAUACUGUUGUGACUAGGAUAUGGUAGAGGUGAGUGGAAUUCCGAGUGUAGCGGUGAAAUGCGUAGAUAUUCGGAGGAACACCAAUAGCGAAGGCAGCUCACUGGGCCACUAUCGACGCUGAGGAGCGAAAGCUAGGGGAGCAAACAGGAUUAGAUACCCUGAUAGUCCUAGCUGUAAACGAUGGAUACUAGAUGUAGGAAUUGGAUUGACGAUUUCUGUAUCGUAGCUAACGCGUUAAGUAUCCCGCCCGGGGAGUACGGUCGCAAGACUAAAACUCAAAGGAAUUGACGGGACCCCGCACAAGCGGCGGAGCAUGCGGCUUAAUUCGA